rnacentral:rRNA from 1 species
UGCUACAAAGAGCAGCGAAACCGUAAGGCGGAGCAAAUCUCAAAAAAGCAUUCUCAGUUCGGAUUGAGGGCUGCAACCCGCCCUCAUGAAGUCGGAGUUGCUAGUAAUCCCGAAUCAGAAUGUCGGGGUGAAUGCGUUCCCGGGUCUUGUACACACCGCCCGUCACGCCAUGGGAGUCGGGGGUACCCGAAGUCGGUGGGCUAACCGCAAGGAGGCAGCCGCCUAAGGUAAAACCGAUGACUGGGGUGAAGUCGUAACAAGGUAUC